GCCUGGGUGGCUCAGUGGGUUAAGCAUCCAACUCCGGCUUAGGUCAUGAUCUCAUGGUUCAUGGGUUCGAGCCCCAUGUCAGGCU
rnacentral:tRNA from 1 species